UACAGAGGGGGCAAGCGUUGUUCGGAAUUACUGGGCGUAAAGGGCGCGUAGGCGGCCUUCUAAGUCGAACGUGAAAUCCCCGGGCUCAACCCGGGAACUGCGUCCGAUACUGGAAGGCUUGAAUCCGGGAGAGGGAUGCGGAAUUCCAGGUGAGCGGUGAAAUGCGUAGAUAUCUGGAAGGAACACCGGUGGCGAAGGCGGCAUCCUGGACCGGCAUUGACGCUGAGGCGCGAAAGCCAGGGGAGCAAACGGG
rnacentral:rRNA from 1 species